rnacentral:misc_RNA from 1 species
UCAAACUUGGUCAUUUAGAGGAAGUAAAAGUCGUAACAAGGUUUCCGUAGGUGAACCUGCGGAAGGAUCAUUAUUAAGUGAGCCCCUGUCACCGGGGGUAUCGCCCACCCGUGUAUACUAUACUUUUGUUGCUUUGGCGGGCCGUGGCUUCCACUGUGGGUUUUGCUCACAAGUGCCCGCCGAAGGACCAAACUCUGAAUAUUGGUUGAUGUCUGAGUAUUAUUUAAUAAUUAAAACUUUCAACAACGGAUCUCUUGGUUCUGGCAUCGAUGAAGAACGCAGC